rnacentral:rRNA from 1 species
GGGGGUCAUCCCGACUUACCAACCCGAUGCAAACUGCGAAUACCGGAGAAUGUUAUCACGGGAGACACACGGCGGGUGCUAACGUCCGUCGUGAAGAGGGAAACAACCCAGACCGCCAGCUAAGGUCCCAAAGUCAUGGUUAAGUGGGAAACGAUGUGGGAAGGCCCAGACAGCCAGGAUGUUGGCUUAGAAGCAGCCAUCAUUUAAAGAAAGCGUAAUAGCUCACUGGUCGAGUCGGCCUGCGCGGAAGAUGUAACGGGGCUAAACCAUGCACCGAAGCUGCGGCAGCGACGCUUAUGCGUUGUUGGGUAGGGGAGCGUUCUGUAAGCCUGUGAAGGUGGCCUGUGAGGGUUGCUGGAGGUAUCAGAAGUGCGAAUGCUGACAUAAGUAACGAUAAAGCGGGUGAAAAGCCCGCUCGCCGGAAGACCAAGGGUUCCUGUCCAACGUUAAUCGGGGCAGGGUGAGUCGACCCCUAAGGCGAGGCCGAAAGGCGUAGUCGAUGGGAAACAGGUUAAUAUUCCUGUACUUGGUGUUACUGCGAAGGGGGGACGGAGAAGGCUAUGUUGGCCGGGCGACGGUUGUCCCGGUUUAAGCGUGUAGGCUGGUUUUCCAGGCAAAUCCGGAAAACCAAGGCUGAGGCGUGAUGACGAGGCACUACGGUGCUGAAGCGACAAAUGCCCUGCUUCCAGGAAAAGCCUCUAAGCAUCAGGUAACAUCAAAUCGUACCCCAAACCGACACAGGUGGUCAGGUAGAGAAUACCAAGGCGCUUGAGAGAACUCGGGUGAAGGAACUAGGCAAAAUGGUGCCGUAACUUCGGGAGAAGGCACGCUGAUAUGUAGGUGAAGCGACUUGCUCGUGGAGCUGAAAUCAGUCGAAGAUACCAGCUGGCUGCAACUGUUUAUUAAAAACACAGCACUGUGCAAACACGAAAGUGGACGUAUACGGUGUGACGCCUGCCCGGUGCCGGAAGGUUAAUUGAUGGGGUUAGCGGUAACGCGAAGCUCUUGAUCGAAGCCCCGGUAAACGGCGGCCGUAACUAUAACGGUCCUAAGGUAGCGAAAUUCCUUGUCGGGUAAGUUCCGACCUGCACGAAUGGCGUAAUGAUGGCCAGGCUGUCUCCACCCGAGACUCAGUGAAAUUGAACUCGCUGUGAAGAUGCAGUGUACCCGCGGCAAGACGGAAAGACCCCGUGAACCUUUACUAUAGCUUGACACUGAACAUUGAGCCUUGAUGUGUAGGAUAGGUGGGAGGCUUUGAAGUGUGGACGCCAGUCUGCAUGGAGCCGACCUUGAAAUACCACCCUUUAAUGUUUGAUGUUCUAACGUUGGCCCGUAAUCCGGGUUGCGGACAGUGUCUGGUGGGUAGUUUGACUGGGGCGGUCUCCUCCUAAAGAGUAACGGAGGAGCACGAAGGUUGGCUAAUCCUGGUCGGACAUCAGGAGGUUAGUGCAAUGGCAUAAGCCAGCUUGACUGCGAGCGUGACGGCGCGAGCAGGUGCGAAAGCAGGUCAUAGUGAUCCGGUGGUUCUGAAUGGAAGGGCCAUCGCUCAACGGAUAAAAGGUACUCCGGGGAUAACAGGCUGAUACCGCCCAAGAGUUCAUAUCGACGGCGGUGUUUGGCACCUCGAUGUCGGCUCAUCACAUCCUGGGGCUGAAGUAGGUCCCAAGGGUAUGGCUGUUCGCCAUUUAAAGUGGUACGCGAGCUGGGUUUAGAACGUCGUGAGACAGUUCGGUCCCUAUCUGCCGUGGGCGCUGGAGAACUGAGGGGGGCUGCUCCUAGUACGAGAGGACCGGAGUGGACGCAUCACUGGUGUUCGGGUUGUCAUGCCAAUGGCACUGCCCGGUAGCUAAAUGCGGAAGAGAUAAGUGCUGAAAGCAUCUAAGCACGAAACUUGCCCCGAGAUGAGUUCUCCCUGAGACUUAGAGUCUCCUGAAGGAACGUUG